rnacentral:rRNA from 1 species
AAUGAUUACCCUGAACGGUGGAUCA